UCUCGUUUCUCCUUACACCUAGCGGCCACCAGCAUCCAAGGAGAGAGAGAAACGAAACACACAGCAGCGGCGGCUCCCACGGCGUGGCAGCCACCCGAGCGCUCGUGGUGACGGACGCAGGACACGGGUCGCAACGGAUCGUAGCAGGGUCGGGCCCACGUGUCGCCGGUGUGGCGCCGCCUCGCCCACAGGGGGCGCCGCCGUGGUUGUGGGAGCUACGGCGAAGGGCGCACAUCGGGAGCGGACGCUGGAGGGCGCGAGCGACGACCUGAGGGCCGCCGCAGCGCAGAGCCUGGACUGGGCUCCCGUGCGGCGCCGGGUGCGGGCCUCCUUCGCGCCCGUGCUCCCCACCCUCGGCCACUGCCUCUUCAAGGUUCGAUGUGCCGGUCGCUCCAAGCUUUGAUUUGGUCUCGUACGCUGUCGCGGAGGUUCAGUUGUCGAAAUUACUUGUUGGAUAAUGGUCGCCGCCACUGACUCUUGCUCGCACCGCCGCCAAGCAAGGGCACAGAGUGGUGGUGGUGCUCAACGAAACGGAGGGGAGCUGGGAACUAGAGACGAUGGCUUACAAGAAGAGGAAGGCCUGCAGCGCAAGCAACAUCAGGAUGAGGUGGACAGUGCCUACCUCCUGCCUUCUGCAUGGAUGAAGAUGGCAGCAUCGAUCCUACUGAUCUUCAAGAGCAAGAAAUUAUAGAUGAUUUAGGUGAUCAUCUAGUAGUUGAAAUGCAGUCCAUUGUUGAUGUUUUACAAGGCUUCUCAAGUGUGGAAAGAAUAUUAAAUAUUGCUAUACUUACCAGUUUGUUCCAAGUUUGAAGUGGAUAAAACCUCAAUCCAUGUGAAAAAAGCAUGUGUGGCUGUGCAGUCCAACGGCACUAUAAGUUAAAGAAGAUGUAUUUUGAUCCUCUUCCACUACAUCAAGUGCCCAAGAAAUGUGUUGAUAUUUGUUUGAAAUGUGUUGAGACUUGUAAUGGUGAUGGCAUUGAUAUGUGUAAGUCUUGCCAUUUACUCUGUAACUGAUACCCUAUGUUCUGGAGAUGAGAUUAACAUGUAAUGGAGAUGGCAUUGAUCAUCUAUACCUGAUCUUUUAUUUCCUAAACCUUUUCUAUGAUGAAAAUAAGUUGUGACCUGUGAUGAUA